rnacentral:rRNA from 1 species
AAGGAUCAUUAUCGAGU